GCGUAGCUCAGUCGGUAGAGCAUCUGACUUUUAAUCAGAGGGCCGAGGGUUCGAGUCCCUCCGCG
rnacentral:tRNA from 1 species